rnacentral:rRNA from 1 species
UACAGAGGUCUCAAGCGUUGUUCGGAUUCAUUGGGCGUAAAGGGUGCGUAGGCGGCGCGGUAAGUCGGGUGUGAAAUCUCGGAGCUUAACUCCGAAACUGCAUUCGAUACUGCCGUGCUUGAGGACUGGAGGGGAGACUGGAAUUUACGGUGUAGCGGUGAAAUGCGUAGAUAUCGUAAGGAAGACCAGUGGCGAAGGCGGGUCUCUGGACAGUUCCUGACGCUGAGGCACGAAGGUCAGGGGGAGCAAACGGG